UACGUAGGGUGCAAGCGUUGUCCGGAAUUAUUGGGCGUAAAGAGCUCGUAGGCGGCCUGUCGCGUCUGCUGUGAAAUCCCGGGGCUCAACCCCGGGCCUGCAGUGGAUACGGGCUGGCUGGAGGCAGGCAGGGGAGAACGGAAUUCCUGGUGUAGCGGUGAAAUGCGCAGAUAUCAGGAGGAACACCGGUGGCGAAGGCGGUUCUCUGGGCCUGUUCUGACGCUGAGGAGCGAAAGCGUGGGGAGCGAACAGG
rnacentral:rRNA from 1 species